rnacentral:tRNA from 1 species
CUCUGGUUAGCUGAGUUGGUAGAGUGCUCCACUGAAAAUGAAGAGAUCCCGGGUUCGAUACCCGAACCAGGUG